rnacentral:tRNA from 1 species
GAAGGUAUAGCUCAGAGGUAGAGCACGUGCUUAGCAUGCCUGGGGUCCUGGGUUCAAUUCCUGGCACCUCCA